GUGAGGAAUUUUCCGCAAUGGGCGAAAGCCUGACGGAGCAAUGCCGCGUGAAGGAUGAAGGCCUAUGGGUUGUAAACUUCUUUUCUCAGAAAAGAAUUAUGACGGUAUCUGAGGAAUAAGCAUCGGCUAACUCUGUGCCAGCAGCCGCGGUAAGACAGAGGAUGCAAGCGUUAUCCGGAAUGAUUGGGCGUAAAGCGUCUGUAGGUUGUUUAAAAAGUAUUCUGUCAAAGAUUAGGGCUUAACCCUAGAUAGGCAGAAUAAACUUUUAAGCUAGAGUUUGGUAGAGGCAGAGGGAAUUCCCGGUGGAGCGGUGAAAUGCGUAGAUAUCGAUAGGAACACCAAAGGCGAAGGCACUCUGCUGGGCCAAUACUAACACUGAGAGACGAAAGCGAGGGGAGCAAAUGGGAUUAGAUACCCUGGUAGUCC
rnacentral:rRNA from 1 species